CCUACGGGAGGCAGCAGUGAGGAAUAUUGGUCAAUGGGCGAGAGCCUGAACCAGCCAAGUAGCGUGAAGGAUGAAGGCUCUAUGGGUCGUAAACUUCUUUUAUAUGGGAAUAAAGUAUUCCACGUGUGGAAUUUUGUAUGUACCAUAUGAAUAAGGAUCGGCUAACUCCGUGCCAGCAGCCGCGGUAAU
rnacentral:rRNA from 1 species